rnacentral:rRNA from 1 species
AUGGUGGAGCUCCUUGACGUCUUGGCGCGACGAAUGGAGACUGGUGGCGGCGGGAUCGACGACGAUGACGACGACUGCGAGUUCGGCCUCUUCCGGGUCGUCAGAUAUGAGCGAGGGAGAGGGGAUUUGGGGACUAGGGUUUCCAGGAAGAGAGAGGGGAGCUCGGGGCGUCAAGUAGGCGCCGGGGUAAGCCGCAGGAUGUCCAACACGCAUCCACAGCCGCGGCCAUGGUGGUCGGAUGCGUGCCACGACCUCUUGUUGUGA